GACGAACGCUGGCGGCGUGCCUAAUACAUGCAAGUAGAACGCUGAAGGAGGAGCUUGCUCUUCUGGAUGAGUUGCGAACGGGUGAGUAACGCGUAGGUAACCUGCCUGGUAGCGGGGGAUAACUAUUGGAAACGAUAGCUAAUACCGCAUAACAGUAGAUGUUGCAUGACAUUUGCUUAAAAGGUGCAAUUGCACCACUACCAGAUGGACCUGCGUUGUAUUAGCUAGUUGGUGGGGUAACGGCUCACCAAGGCGAGGAUACAUAGCCGGCCGGAGAGGGGGAGCGGCCACACUGGGACUGAGACACGGCCCAGACUCCUUCGGGAAGCAGCAGUAGGGAAUCUUCGGCAAUGGACGGAAGUCUGACCGAGCAACGCCGCGUGAGUGAAGAAGGUUUUCGGGUCGUAAAGCUCUGUUGUAAGAGAAGAAAGAGUGUGAGAGUGGAAAGUUCACACUGUGACGGUAUCUUACCAGAAAGGGACGGCUAACUACGUG
rnacentral:rRNA from 1 species